UACGGAGGGGGCUAGCGUUGUUCGGAAUUACUGGGCGUAAAGCGCACGUAGGCGGCUUUGUAAGUUAGAGGUGAAAGCCCGGGGCUCAACUCCGGAAUUGCCUUUAAGACUGCAUCGCUAGAAUUGUGGAGAGGUAAGUGGAAUUCCGAGUGUAGAGGUGAAAUUCGUAGAUAUUCGGAAGAACACCAGUGGCGAAGGCGACUUACUGGACACAUAUUGACGCUGAGGUGGACGAAAGCGUGGGGAGCAAACAGG
rnacentral:rRNA from 1 species